GUGUUUUUUGGUGUAAUUUGGCAAUCGGUAAUUCUGUAUAUUUCACAAUUUGGUUGAGAAACUACAAAUUUUUGUUAUUUAUAAAUUACUUUAGAAAGUGCUAUUAACUACAGACGUUCCCUCAAAAGCGAACGGUAUGUCAUGCAGCUAUGUAGUUUAAAAUAUAUUCAUGCUGGUUUUGUGUAAUAUGUACCAAUUUCGCAUACAAGGCUAAUCAAUGACAAUGACUACAAGACCUGCUUUUGCAGCGCUCAAAUAUUCCCCAAGAUACCUGUACAGAUAAAAUAUAUAUAUAUAUACCCCCCCCCACCCAAGAAAAUGUUGCUGCAUAAUGAAAAGAUAUUACAUUGGCCAUUCACAACACAUUGUUGGGGGGCACAGGGUUGUAGGUGUGAUGGAAGUUCAGGUGGCACAUAACUCC